UGGCCCAUAGAAGACAGAGGGUGAUGCCAGAUGGAAAGCAUUCAGCCUGGAGCUCGGUGACCAGUGGUUUUCUGCACGGAGAGGUUACAGGACCUCUGCUCUUGGUACUCGGGAAGUUCCUGACUCAAUAGACUUCCCAACUGCUGUGCGUCUCAUCCAUCACCUCAUUGAAGAUGGUUGGUCAGCCAGGGAGACAAAGGGCAGGGAGAUCUGGAGCCUUUAAUAAAUCCUGCAGUGAGGUACUCAGGAAGGUUCAGACUCGAUUAACUUCCCAGCUGCUGGGUGUCUCGUCCAUCAUCACAUUGAAGAUAGUUGGUCAGCCAGAGAGACAAAAGAGAGGGAGAUCUGCAGCCUUCAAUAAAUCCUGCAGUGAGUUUCCGGAAAUGCUUCCUAAAGCAGGAUGAUCAGAAUUCUCCACAGUACUCCAACUGGGGACCCAGCAAUGCCUUGUACAGCCGUACCAUG